rnacentral:tRNA from 1 species
GGUGCGGUAGCAUAGUUGGCCUAAUGCGCCGGCCUCAUAAGCCGAGGAUCGGUGGUUCGAACCCACCCCGCACCA